rnacentral:rRNA from 1 species
GACGAACGCUAGCGGCGUGCUUAACACAUGCAAGUCGAACGGAAAGGCCCUGCUUGCAGGGUGCUCGAGUGGCGAACGGGUGAGUAACACGUGGGUGAUCUGCCCCUUACUUUGGGAUAAGCCUGGGAAACUGGGUCUAAUACUGGAUAGGACCAUGCUGUAGGUGGUGUGGUGGAAAGAUUAGUUUCGGUAAGGGAUGAGCUCGCGGCCUAUCAGCUUGUUGGUGGGGUAAUGGCCUACCAAGGCGUCGACGGGUAGCCGGCCUGAGAGGGUGGACGGCCACAUUGGGACUGAGAUACGGCCCAGACUCCUACGGGAGGCAGCAGUGGGGAAUAUUGCACAAUGGGCGCAAGCCUGAUGCAGCGACGCCGCGUGGGGGAUGACGGCCUUCGGGUUGUAAACUCCUUUCAGCCAUGACGAAGCCCUUGUGGUGACGGUAGUGGUAGAAGAAGCACCGGCUAACUACGUG